GAUGAACGCUAGCUACAGGCUUAACACAUGCAAGUCGAGGGGAAACGGCAUUAAGUGCUUGCACUUUUUGGACGUCGACCGGCGCACGGGUGAGUAACGCGUAUCCAACCUUCCCAUGACUAAGGGAUAACCUGCCGAAAGGCAGACUAAUACCUUAUGGUCUUCACUGACGGCAUCAGAUGUGAAGUAAAGAUUUAUCGGUUAUGGAUGGGGAUGCGUCUGAUUAGCUUGUUGGCGGGGUAACGGCCCACCAAGGCAACGAUCAGUAGGGGUUCUGAGAGGAAGGUCCCCCACAUUGGAACUGAGACACGGUCCAAACUCCUACGGGAGGCAGCAGUGAGGAAUAUUGGUCAAUGGGCGAGAGCCUGAACCAGCCAAGUAGCGUGCAGGAUGACGGCCCUAUGGGUUAUAAACUGCUUUUGUAUGGGGAUAAAGUCAAUCACGUGUGAUUGUUUGCAGGUACCAUACGAAUAAGGACCGGCUAAUUCCGUG
rnacentral:rRNA from 1 species